rnacentral:rRNA from 1 species
AUUGAACGCUGGCGGCAUGCUUUACACAUGCAAGUCGAACGGCAGCGCGGGCUUCGGCCUGGCGGCGAGUGGCGAACGGGUGAGUAAUGCAUCGGAACGUGCCCAGUAGUGGGGGAUAGCCCGGCGAAAGCCGGAUUAAUACCGCAUACGACCUGAGGGUGAAAGCGGGGGACCGAAAGGCCUCGCGCUAUUGGAGCGGCCGAUGUCGGAUUAGCUAGUUGGUGGGGUAAAGGCUUACCAAGGCGACGAUCCGUAGCUGGUCUGAGAGGACGACCAGCCACACUGGGACUGAGACACGGCCCAGACUCCUACGGGAGGCAGCAGUGGGGAAUUUUGGACAAUGGGGGCAACCCUGAUCCAGCCAUGCCGCGUGCGGGAAGAAGGCCUGCGGGUUGUAAACCGCUUUUGUGCGGGAAGAAAUCCUCUGGGCUAAUACCCCGGGGGGAUGACGGUACCGGAAGAAUAAGCACCGGCUAACUACGU